rnacentral:rRNA from 1 species
CCUACGGGAGGCUGCAGUGGGGAAUAUUGGACAAUGGGGGCAACCCUGAUCCAGCCAUGCCGCGUGUGUGAAGAAGGCCCUCGGGUUGUAAAGCACUUUCAGUGAGGAAGAACGCCUGGUGGUUAAUACCCAUCAGGAAAGACAUCACUCACAGAAGAAGCACCGGCUAACUCCGUGCCAGCAGCCGCGGUAAUACGGAGGGUGCGAGCGUUAAUCGGAAUUACUGGGCGUAAAGCGCGCGUAGGUGGCUUGAUAAGCCGGUUGUGAAAGCCCCGGGCUCAACCUGGGAACGGCAUCCGGAACUGUCCAGCUAGUGUGCAGGAGAGGAAGGUAGAAUUCCCGGUGUAGCGGUGAAAUGCGUAGAGAUCGGAAGGAAUACCAGUGGCGAAGGCGGCCUUCUGGACUGACACUGACACUGAGGUGCGAAAGCGUGGGUAGCAAACAGGAUUAGAUACCCGAGUAGUC